AUUGAACGCUGGCGGCAUGCCUUACACAUGCAAGUCGAACGGCAGCACGGGUGCUUGCACCUGGUGGCGAGUGGCGAACGGGUGAGUAAUACAUCGGAACAUGUCCUGUAGUGGGGGAUAGCCCGGCGAAAGCCGGAUUAAUACCGCAUACGAUCUACGGAUGAAAGCGGGGGACCUUCGGGCCUCGCGCUAUAGGGUUGGCCGAUGGCUGAUUAGCUAGUUGGUGGGGUAAAGGCCUACCAAGGCGACGAUGGGUAGCUGGUCUGAGGGGGCGACCAGCCACAAUAGGACUGAGGUACGGCCCAGAGUCCGAAGGGGGGCAGCAGUGGGUAAUAUUGCCCUAUAGGCGGAAGCCUGAUGCAGCAGCGCCGCGUGCGGGAUGACGGGCUUGGGGGUGUAAACCGCUUUCGCCUGUGACGAAGCGGGAGUGACGGUAAUGGGUAAAGAAGCACCGGCUAACUACGUG
rnacentral:rRNA from 1 species